AGAGUUUGAUCAUGGCUCAGAUUGAACGCUGGCGGCAGGCCUAACACAUGCAAGUCGAGCGGUAGCACAGAGAGCUUGCUCUCGGGUGACGAGCGGCGGACGGGUGAGUAAUGUCUGGGAAACUGCCUGAUGGAGGGGAUAACUACUGGAAACGGUAGCUAAUACCGCAUAACGUCGCAAGACCAAAGUGGGGGACCUUCGGGCCUCAUGCCAUCAGAUGUGCCCAGAUGGGAUUAGCUAGUAGGUGGGGUAACGGCUCACCUAGGCGACGAUCCCUAGCUGGUCUGAGAGGAUGACCAGCCACACUGGAACUGAGACACGGUCCAGACUCCUACGGGAGGCAGCAGUGGGGAAUAUUGCACAAUGGGCGCAAGCCUGAUGCAGCCAUGCCGCGUGUGUGAAGAAGGCCUUCGGGUUGUAAAGCACUUUCAGCGGGGAGGAAGGCGDURAGGUUAAUAACCUCAUCGAUUGACGUUACCCGCAGAAGAAGCACCGGCUAACUCCGUGCCAGCAGCCGCGGUAAUACGGAGGGUGCAAGCGUUAAUCGGAAUUACUGGGCGUAAAGCGCACGCAGGCGGUCUGUCAAGUCGGAUGUGAAAUCCCCGGGCUCAACCUGGGAACUGCAUUCGAAACUGGCAGGCUAGAGUCUUGUAGAGGGGGGUAGAAUUCCAGGUGUAGCGGUGAAAUGCGUAGAGAUCUGGAGGAAUACCGGUGGCGAAGGCGGCCCCCUGGACAAAGACUGACGCUCAGGUGCGAAAGCGUGGGGAGCAAACAGGAUUAGAUACCCUGGUAGUCCACGCCGUAAACGAUGUCGAUUUGGAGGUUGUGCCCUUGAGGCGUGGCUUCCGGAGCUAACGCGUUAAAUCGACCGCCUGGGGAGUACGGCCGCAAGGUUAAAACUCAAAUGAAUUGACGGGGGCCCGCACAAGCGGUGGAGCAUGUGGUUUAAUUCGAUGCAACGCGAAGAACCUUACCUGGUCUUGACAUCCACAGAACUUUCCAGAGAUGGAUUGGUGCCUUCGGGAACUGUGAGACAGGUGCUGCAUGGCUGUCGUCAGCUCGUGUUGUGAAAUGUUGGGUUAAGUCCCGCAACGAGCGCAACCCUUAUCCUUUGUUGCCAGCGGUUAGGCCGGGAACUCAAAGGAGACUGCCAGUGAUAAACUGGAGGAAGGUGGGGAUGACGUCAAGUCAUCAUGGCCCUUACGACCAGGGCUACACACGUGCUACAAUGGCAUAUACAAAGAGAAGCGACCUCGCGAGAGCAAGCGGACCUCAUAAAGUAUGUCGUAGUCCGGAUUGGAGUCUGCAACUCGACUCCAUGAAGUCGGAAUCGCUAGUAAUCGUAGAUCAGAAUGCUACGGUGAAUACGUUCCCGGGCCUUGUACACACCGCCCGUCACACCAUGGGAGUGGGUUGCAAAAGAAGUAGGUAGCUUAACCUUCGGGAGGGCGCUUACCACUUUGUGAUUCAUGACUGGGGUGAAGUCGUAACAAGGUAACCGUAGGGGAACCUGCGGUUGGAUCACCU
rnacentral:rRNA from 1 species